UAUGUUCUUCAAAAGAAUUCUCUAAAUUAGAGAUUAUGCUUAUUUGUAUAUGCACACGAUAAAGCUUAUAUACUGGAACAUCAAGCUAUUUUUUAAAUAUUUUAUCUGGUGCUUGGAAGUAUUGCUGAACUGUCAUAGCAGUGGAGUAAUAGUUAAUGUCUUAUGAAGUGCGACGGUAUGAAGGAAUGACACAUCUAACUUGUUGCGUCAGUGCAGCCGAAAGAACGUUGACGCGGUACAUCAAUUUCCUUAAGAUGUGGGGAAUACCAUGUAUAUUUUUAUUAUUUUCGCUUUUUGAAACUAUUAUUGCUGCCGUUCCAUACGUAGACUAUAAUACGAAAUAAAUAGAAAGAAAUGAAGUCUCGGGCUUUUCACAAUCCGAGAUAGUUGCAAAUUUUAUAUUAAAAAGUAUAAACACGUCAGCGGACCCGUGUAAAGAUUUCCACGAAUAUGCUUGCGGUAAUUGGCAAACAAAUUUUCCCCGACCAGGCAAUCAAAUUAUUUGGGACAUAGAUAAAAUUGCAGAAGAAACUAUGAAUAUUCGUUUGCGAGAAAUUUUAGAAGAAGAAGUAAAGCCAGAAGACGAUAUUCCAUUACAAUACGAAAAAGAAUGGUAUCAAUCCUGUACAAAUUUAGCUAAGCGCGAAAAAGAUGGAAUAAAGCUUUUGGAGCAUAUGUUAAAUCAAUCGGGAGGUUGGCCAAUAACUAUGAGAAGCCACGAUGAAUCGGAUAACAGUAAUAUUUGGCAAAAUGUUCACAAUUACUACAUAGAUUAUAAUGAAGCGAAUGCCUUGUUUGAAAUAGGCGUUUCAAAUGAUAUAAGAAACACUUCUAAAUUUAUCAUAUUGGUAGGUCAGCCGAUCGAUAGUUUAUACGAAAACAUGUUAAAAGAUGAAAAUGUUGAAAAAAGUUUAGAAAAAUAUCAAGAAUUCAUGAAAAAUGUAGCGCUUGUAUUUGCAAAAUCAAUAAAUAGUGAAGUUUCGUUUAAUGACGUUGCUAACGAUGUGAAAGCCGUUAUAAAUUUUCAGGAGAAAUUGCAUUUGAUAAAAUCGUCUGUGGAUGAACGAGAUGAUGAUGAAUAUGGUAAAAAUUUUAUGAAAAUAAAAGAUUUUCAAACUUUGUACGAUCAGAAAAAUCACGGAAACAAUACUUCUAAGAUAAACUGGCUACAGACUAUUUCUAAUAUUUUAAAAAAAGUAAAUCUUACGAUUGAAGAGUCGGAAGAGAUUAAUGUUGUCGACGUACCGUAUUUUGAGAAAUUAUCAGGAUUACUUGAUGAAACUCCAAAUCGAGUAAUUAUUAGGUUAAACGAAGUUUUAAACGAACAUUUUUCUUUGAGAUUCUUGAAGAAAGUCCCGCAUACUAUACUUUACACAUUAAGCGAGCAAUGUUAAAAGAGUAAAUUUUGUUUUUCAGUUAAUUAUAUUCAUGGGAAAUUUUUGAUUUACUCCUUGGAAUCUUCAACGCGAGAAAUAAUUGAUUUAGUAGUAGAAGGCGUAUUAGAACAUAGUGGAUAUCAAGAAGAACCAGAAAAGUUGAAUUAAAUUACAGUAUAUUGCAUUUUUUAUGUUUUUUUUAUAGCAUAAUACAAUACUAAACAAAUUUUCCAGCUGAGAUUGAAAUACGUAAAGAAGUACUUUUCAGAAGAUUCGAAAAAAAAUGGGAUUGGAAAUGGCAGUCAAGAUUCGCGAUAAAUUAAUGGACGAUAUACAGAAAUCUAGUUGGCUCGAUGCAUCAACAAAAAGAAAAACCUUGAAGAAAAUUGGUAAAUUAAAGAUAAACAUGGGCUAUACGAACAUUUUAAAUAAUUCAACGUUUAUGGCACAUGUGUACG